rnacentral:rRNA from 1 species
AAAGGGCUGCAGUAUUGUGACUGUACAAAGGUAGCAUCAUCAUUAGUUUUUUAAUUGGAAACUUGUAUGAAAGAUUUGAUGAAAUAUUAACUGUCUCUUGUUUAUUAUUAGAACUUUAUUUUUUAGUAGAAAAGCUAAAAUAAUUUUAAAAGACGAGAAGACCCUAUAGAGUUUUAUAUUUGAUUUUAUUUUAAUUUUUAUAUUAAAGUUAAUAUUAAAAUGAAAUUUAAUAUUAUAUUGGGGUGAUAGAAAAAUUAAAAUAACUUUUUUUAAAUAAUAAACAUAAAUAAAUGAUUAAAUGAUCCAUUAAUAAUGAUUAUAAGAAAAAAUUACCUUAGGGAUAACAGCGUAAUAUUUUUUUUUAGUUCAAAUAAAAAAAAA